rnacentral:ncRNA from 1 species
AUACCACUACUUUUAUCGUUUCUUUACUUAUUCAGUGAAGCGGGAGCGGCCUUCACGGGCCUCCGUUUCUGGUGUUAAACGGCUGGGCCCUCGCGGCCGGCGCUGUGACCUGCUCUGAAGACAUGUGUCAGGCGGGGAGUUUGACUGGGCGGUACAAUCUGUUCAAGAAGGUAACGGCAGGUGUCCAAGAUGAGGCUCAGUCAGGCAGAAACCAUGGCGUAGACAAAAGGGGCAAAAGCUCAUUUGAUUUUGAUUUUCAGUUACGAAUAGCAGACCGUGAAAGCGCGGCGCUAUCGAUCCUUUGAAUUAAUCAGAUUUGAUGCAAGGGGUGUCAGAAAAGUUACAAGGGAUAACUGGCUUGUGGCGGCCAAGCGUUCUAUAGCGACGUCGCCGCUUUUUGAUCGCUUCGAUGUCGGCUCUUCCUAUCAUUGUGAAGUGCAGAAUCACCAAGCCGUUGGAUUGUCUUCACAGAAGGCGCCACCAAUAGGGAACGUGUGAGCUGGGUUUAGACACCGUCGUGAGACAGGUUAGUUUACCGCUACUGAUGUCUUGUCGUUGCUAUGGUAAUCCUGCUAUAGUACGAGAGGAACCGCAGGUUCAGACAUUUGUUUAUGUGCUUGGUCGAAAGAACCAAUGGUGCGAAGCUACCAUCUGAGGGAUUAAGACUGAAAGCCUCUUAAGUCUGAAUCCCGCCCAGAAAUGCAACGAUACUAUCGGUGCCCCUACGCCGGGAGGCAACGAUAUACUCGGCCCGAAAUCCGAUUUCGGCGGCCGAGACUGGCUAAAGCCAUGCGAUACUGGCCACAACCCGCUGUCUUGAAAAUUUGGCAGUGGAGGCCACAGACACGAUACCACUUGAUUGAGACGUAGGGGUUCUAUAUCGUUUGUAGACGACUUAGAUCUCGUCGGGUGCCGUACUUAGUUGAGGCAGUUCUUCACUGCGAUCUAUUGAGGCUAAGCCUUUUGACGGGGAGAUAUGU